rnacentral:rRNA from 1 species
ACGAGGCACUACGGUGCUGAAGCAACAAAUGCCCUGCUUCCAGGAAAAGCCUCUAAGCAUCAGGUAACAUCAAAUCGUACCCCAAACCGACACAGGUGGUCAGGUAGAGAAUACCAAGGCGCUUGAGAGAACUCGGGUGAAGGAACUAGGCAAAAUGGUGCCGUAACUUCGGGAGAAGGCACGCUGACACGUAGGUGAAGUGAUUUACUCACGGAGCUGAAGUCAGUCGAAGAUACCAGCUGGCUGCAACUGUUUAUUAAAAACACAGCACUGUGCAAACACGAAAGUGGACGUAUACGGUGUGACGCCUGCCCGGUGCCGGAAGGUUAAUUGAUGGGGUCAGCGCAAGCGAAGCUCCUGAUCGAAGCCCCGGUAAACGGCGGCCGUAACUAUAACGGUCCUAAGGUAGCGAAAUUCCUUGUCGGGUAAGUUCCGACCUGCACGAAUGGCGUAAUGAUGGCCAGGCUGUCUCCACCCGAGACUCAGUGAAAUUGAACUCGCUGUGAAGAUGCAGUGUACCCGCGGCAAGACGGAAAGACCCCGUGAACCUUUACUAUAGCUUGACACUGAACAUUGAGCCUUGAUGUGUAGGAUAGGUGGGAGGCUUUGAAGUGUGGACGCCAGUCUGCAUGGAGCCGACCUUGAAAUACCACCCUUUAAUGUUUGAUGUUCUAACGUGGACCCGUAAUCCGGGUUGCGGACAGUGUCUGGUGGGUAGUUUGACUGGGGCGGUCUCCUCCUAAAGAGUAACGGAGGAGCACGAAGGUUGGCUAAUCCUGGUCGGACAUCAGGAGGUUAGUGCAAUGGCAUAAGCCAGCUUGACUGCGAGCGUGACGGCGCGAGCAGGUGCGAAAGCAGGUCAUAGUGAUCCGGUGGUUCUGAAUGGAAGGGCCAUCGCUCAACGGAUAAAAGGUACUCCGGGGAUAACAGGCUGAUACCGCCCAAGAGUUCAUAUCGACGGCGGUGUUUGGCACCUCGAUGUCGGCUCAUCACAUCCUGGGGCUGAAGUAGGUCCCAAGGGUAUGGCUGUUCGCCAUUUAAAGUGGUACGCGAGCUGGGUUUAGAACGUCGUGAGACAGUUCGGUCCCUAUCUGCCGUGGGCGCUGGAGAACUGAGGGGGGCUGCUCCUAGUACGAGAGGACCGGAGUGGACGCAUCACUGGUGUUCGGGUUGUCAUGCCAAUGGCACUGCCCGGUAGCUAAAUGCGGAAGAGAUAAGUGCUGAAAGCAUCUAAGCACGAAACUUGCCCCGAGAUGAGUUCUCCCUGAGACUUAGAGUCUCCUGAAGGAACGUUGAAGACGACGACGUUGAUAGGCCGGGUGUGUAAGCGCAGCGAUGCGUUGAGCUAACCGGUACUAAUGAACCGUGAGGCUUAACC